rnacentral:rRNA from 1 species
AGUGAACGCUGGCGGUAGGCCUAACACAUGCAAGUCGAACGGCAGCACAGUAAGAGCUUGCUCUUACGGGUGGCGAGUGGCGGACGGGUGAGGAAUACAUCGGAAUCUACUUUUUCGUGGGGGAUAACGUAGGGAAACUUACGCUAAUACCGCAUACGACCUACGGGUGAAAGCAGGGGAUCUUCGGACCUUGCGCGAUUGAAUGAGCCGAUGUCGGAUUAGCUAGUUGGCGGGGUAAAGGCCCACCAAGGCGGCGAUCCGUAGCUGGUCUGAGAGGAUGAUCAGCCACACUGGAACUGAGACACGGUCCAGACUCCUACGGGAGGCAGCAGUGGGGAAUAUUGGACAAUGGGCGCAAGCCUGAUCCAGCCAUACCGCGUGGGUGAGGAAGGCCUUCGGGUUGUAAAGCCCUUUUGUUGGGAAAGAAAAGCAGCAGGUUAAUACCCCGCUGUUCUGACGGUACCCAAAGAAUAAGCACCGGCUAACUUCGUG